GACUCUCUCUCAAUCUAUACAAUAUGUUUCAGCAUUUAGAUACACUAGAUCAGUAAUGUAUCAAUACUACUAGGAUACUACUAGGGAUAGAAUCAAAAGCCUCUGCUUUAUAGGUUUUCUUUAUAUAUUCAAAGAUUAUAUAUUUAUGUAAAUAUAUAUGAUAUAUGAAAAUGUAUUAUGGACGAGCAAACUUUGUAAAAAAAUCAAAAUAUAUUACAUACAAGACAAAGGUUGGUGUUCAGAGUAUGUUCCUAAUAAUGCUGAGUUGUAUUUCUCUACAACUAUGUGCUUACAAAUACUCCUGUGCGAAUGCCUCUUGUGGCUCAGUGGGUUCAGAACCGGGCAUGGUAUCCAUGCGGAUGCGGGUUGUUCUACCCCUGGCCCUGCUCGGUGGGUUAAGGAGCCCACGUGACCACAAGCCGUGCUCUAGAUCACAGAUGCAGGUCAGAUCUGGCAUUGCGGUGGCUCUGGCGUAAGCCUGCAGAUGCAGCUCCGAUUCGACCCCUAGCCUGGUAAUGUCCCUAUGCUGGAGGCACGGCCCUAAAAGGAAAAAAAUAAUAAUAAAAGAUUGGGGGGGUUUCUGUUUUGUUGUUUUUUUAAGUCCUACUGUGGUACGGACUUUGACCUUAUAAAAGAAUUCACUCAGGUAUUCAAACAUGAUCAUCUACCACUCCCUGAAUGCCGCAAAUUAUUACUAGAGCGCGAGAGAGAUCGAGAGAGAAGUGUUCUUAACACAGCUGCUUUCCACCUGGAGAAAGAACUGGUAACCAGAAGUCUAAGGAGAGUGUAAGGCUUCAAAGAUAUACUUAAUGGAACAUGAGAUGGCGCUAAAAAGAAGAUUAAGAGUUUUCAUCUCAAAUUCUAAGCUCCCAAUUGGUGGGUACUGAGAAAUAUACUGUAGCCUUAGCCUUAUUUAUCACAUAGUGCUGAUCUAUUCCCUUGGUAUUUAUGACACUCUUCCUCCAGAGAACUCAACUGAACUUACACAAUGUGACCCGAAGAGGCCCUCCUCUAAGCCUACUUCGUUUCUAAAUGACACUAACCCUGGAUGUUCAGUCCUCAACUUUUCUAUUCCUCGCUUUCUUUCUUUCCUUCUUGUCUCUCUCUUUAUUUAUUUAUUUUUUUUAAAGCCACUCCUGUGGCAUACGGAAGUUCCCAGGCUAGGGGUUGAAUCAGAGCUGCUGCUGAGACCUAUACCAGAGCCUUGGCAACACUGGACCCUUAACCCACUGAGCGAGGCCCCAUCCUCAUGGAUACUGGUAGGGUUCAUAAGCCGCUGAGCCACAAUGGGAGCGCUUCCACAAUCUUUCUAGUUAAAAUCUUCCUACGACAAUCAUUCAUUUUAUGAAUUCAGUUAAUGUCUUCUAUAAAGAGGAAUUCUGCUAUUCGUAGCAAAGAGUGCCACUAUCGAUGCCGUAACUGCUUUUCAUCAGUGAGACUCUUCCUAUUUUCUAAAAUAGUCUCAUAUAAUAUUGGUAACACAAUUAAAAUUCCUUUUCGGUUAUGACAGAAAAAACCCGACUUACCGAACUUGGACCCGGCGGGUUUCUCUGAAGCUCUUCAAUUGUGCCCGCUUGCAUUUUGUUUGUAUCUUUUAACUCGGCAUUUUCCUUUUCAAGCCUAGAAUGUGUAUUUCAAAAUAAUUAUCCUCACACAUAGAUUGUUAAGACCACCACACCAAUUGUACACAAACAUCCACAGGUUCCAUUGCAGAAAUUCUGAAAUUUUUGAAAGGUAGAUGUUUUGGCCAUUUUGUUGUUUUUCUAGCAGGGUUUUGCGGAUAAUGAGAGAAAUUUAGAAAUAAUGGGGAAAAGCCAUUUCACAACACCCCAAAACUGAAAUUUUUACCCGGCUCCCCAAUGAUGUCUUAUUUGUCAUCUUUCCUGGUAUAAUUCUUACACUGUACUGCCUAGGUGCUUCGUACUUAAUCCCUACUUAUUCUCUGUGCUGCUUUAAAUCUUACUUUUGCACUUGAUGCUGCAUCUUCUCAAUACAUUUCGCGGCCUCCAUAUAUCGAUCUUGUGCUUCUUGCAACUAAAAUAAAGGAAACCACGGUUGUUACCUACUGAUAAUCUAGUACAGAUAUACCUGCUCUCUUGUCGUGCUCAUCUGCAUAUUGUUUAUGGCUACUUUUCGUGCCACUAGCAUAGACAGGAGUUGUUAUAACAGAGACCUUAGAGCCCACAAACUUGAAAUAUUUCCUAUCUGGUCCUUUGCAAGUUAUCAACCUCUCCUCUCGCAUUAAACGUAAUAUUAUUAAUGCAUUAAAUUCCAUUUCAUCAAAUAAAUAUACACAUUUAUACGUUGGCAGAUGGGGGAAAGAGAGAAUUUCCUUACAGGAAACAUUCAUGUCUGCUGCCUAUGCCACAGCCACAGCAGUGCAGGAUCCAAGCCAGGUCUGCGACCGAUACCGCAGCUCACGGCAACAACGCCGCAUCCUUAACCCACCGAGUGAGGCCAGGGAUUGAAUCUGCAACCUCAUGGUUCCUGGUUGGGUUCGCUUCCAAUGUGCCACAAUGGGAACUCCGCAUGUACAUUAUUGUCUUCUAAGCGACACUCAACUACAACAUUAAAUAUCCACACCGCGAGUCACUGUGUCACUUCUAGUGAUGAUGAUGAUUAAUACUGCUUUUUCUGUCAACCAGAGGUCUAGUGGACUAGUUUAGAGAGACAGUAUCUUCUCAGGAGCCAGCAUGUACGACUCUGUUUCAAUCCCAUCCAUUGUUAGCCCCAUGUCCUUGAGCAAAUUAAAUUUUCCUUCUCAGUUUCUCCAUCUGUAAAAUGGAGAUAAUAAUAGCAUCUACCUCACCGGGAUAUUGGUAAGAUUACAAUGGGGAAUACGCAUAAUGUACUUAGAAGACUGGGUGGCACCUAGCAAGUGCUAAGGGUUUGCCAUCAGCAUUAUUACUCUUGCUAUACUGUAUGUUCUCAACAAUUUAAUAUUUAGGCACCUAGCAUGCUAACGGACAUGGUCUCAUAUACAAAUCACCCUCAAAUCAGUCUUUUUAGUGAAAGUUGCUGUCUGUGGGGAGCUAGAGGCCCAGAGUAUAUGCCCAAUACUUCAAAAUCUUCCAUUAAUUGCACCAAACAACUAGUACUUUUUUCCACUUAUAUAGUCAUUUGGAACUUACUUCCUCUCUGCACCACUCAGUGGGCAGUGGUCACAGACUACAAUGCAGAGAGCACCUCCUGGAUUGAGUGAUACAAGACUUCCAUGACCGUUGGAGGAAUCAAUCCAGUGGCAUGGCUAUUAGGUCAAAGUUCUGAAUCGGUUUAUUCCCAGGGACUGUUUAUUUCAACCUAUUUUAGCAUGGACUCAGAUGAGAAAAUUCAGCUUAUGGAGAAUGGAUAUCAGAAAAGCUAUUCUUGGAAGUUCCCAUUGUGGUGCCAUGGAAACAAAUCCGACUGGCAUCCAUGCGCACGUGGGUUUGAUCCCUGGCUUCACUCCAUGGGUUAGGGAUCCACCAUUGACCUUGAGCUGUGAGGCAGGUCCAAGACAUGACUCUGAUCCUGAGUUGCUCUGCUUGCGGUUUAGGCCAGCAGCUGCAGUUCUGAUUCGACCCGCAGCUUGGGAACUUCCAUACACUAUGGGUACAGCCCUAAAAAAAGCAAAACACAAAAACAAAAAGAAAAGAAAAGCUAUUCUCAGAACUUUACAGUUAGUCAAAUGCUAUCAAUCUGUAAAUUCCACUUUUAGGUUCAUACUAAAGAAAAUUAGAUUUUUUUUUAUAGUGAGGGCAAAAGUGAACAUUUAAUUGAACAAUUCUUCCCUAUGAGUUCAAGUACUUUCCAUUUUGUAUUUAUUGAUUAAAAUACCAUUUAAUAAAAGCUUUUUCAUACCAAUAUCUACACAAGGAAAUUAUGCAUAUGAUAAAAGUGCUUAAACUUAUCCUAGUAACACUUAAGCUAAAAUAUUUUCAGUUUAUGCAAGGACUGGUGCCAUGCAUAUAGUUUCAUAUUCCCUGUUAGACAAAUUUAUACUUAAGACAAGAUUAUCUCUUACGAAAAAAAAAUUAAACAGAGUAAAAAUGACAGGAUAAACUGUUCUACACGAUGAGAAUAGGGUCAAUGACAAGAGGAACAGUCAGAGAAAGCUUCAUGUGAAAAGAAGGAGAGACUGGAAGCCCUGUCUGAAUAAAUGGAGGACUAGGUGACAGGAAAAGAAAGGGAAAAGACAGAAAGGACAGCAUGAGGAAAGGCAAAGAAAAGGUGACAUCAGCCAGUUAACUCACAGGAGAAAAUCCAACAGCAGGGAAUAAAACGAGUCAACACAGUGACUUGAAAAGGAAUGUUCACAGCAGCAUUAUUUAUAGCCCCAAUGUGGAAACAACCCAAAGGCCCAUCAGCUGAUGAGUGGGUCAAUGUUUUGACCAUGUAACACUGUACUGUUCCACAAGGAACAGACAUGGAAGUGCUGAUAACGGGCUCUACCAUGGAGGAACCUUGAGAACUUUAUGUCAAAUGAAAAAAGCUAACCACAAGGGACAAAAUUCCAUGUGAGCCCAUUUGUAUGAAACCCCCAGAACAGGCAGAGCUAUGGAGACAGGAAUUAGCCUGGUGGUUGCCUGGGGCUGAGGGAGAUGGGGGCUGUGAGCGACCCCGAAGAGAUACAGGGUUUCUUUUUGGGGUGAUGGUCCAAAAUUGAUUGUGGUGAAAGUUGCACAACUCUGAAUAAACUAGUAGAUACUGAACUACACAUCUUAAAGGAGUGGAUUAUGUGACCUAUGAAGCAUAUCUCAAUACAUUUUUUUAAUCCAAUGGUAGCAUCUAGAUAAUUUCUUAAUUCUUUAUUUUGGCUAUGCAAACUAGACAAGAUCUAAAUAUCUCCAUGCAUUUACAAUACAGUUAAUUUGAAAAGAAAAUAAAGGCAAUGCCUAACUUCAACUGGCUUGUAGAAUGACCUCACCGCACAAGAUAAUGUGAAAUCCAAGAAAGAAAUAUACACAUAUUCUAUACUCUUUCACAAAAGUGAAGAUGAGAAAUGACAGUUUUCUGGAACAUUCCAUUAAACAGUAUCCUCUGACUUUUAUCUGGCUUGCCUCAUCAUGGUGAUAGAGACAUCACCAAAACUUACUGUUUAAUAGAAAAAAACAGACUCUCAAGUUCUCUCUACUUCCCCAAGGGGAAACAGUCUAAGAAAAAUUAUAUAAUACAAAACAGCAGAAUAAAAGUCAGAGUUUAAGAAAUAAGCGCAUUAUAAAGCAAUAAAAUGGUAAUGAAAUAAUGGUGAUGAAAAUAAAAAAGAAAGCUGUCUUUGAAAAUUAGUCUCCUGAAACACUUUGUGUUAUACAUUAACCGUGGACACUCACAUUUAACAAUCUCAAACAUACUUGACUUGUGAUUUGUAAUUUCUUUUUUAAAUCUUAUGCCUCAUCUUCUAAAUUAGCACAAUAAUGUGGCUUGACUUCCAGUGAAGCCUCUGACCUGGACAGCUUUUUCAGUUUAUCAGCCAGUAAUCAUUUUUUAAAUUCUUUUUUUUUUUUUUUUUGCUUUUUUAGGGUUGCACUCACGGCAUAUGGAGGUUCCCAGGCUAGGGGUCCAAUUACAGCUACAGCUGCCAGCCUACAACACAGCCGCAGGAACAUGGGAUCCUUAAUCUAUCUACUAAGCAAGGCCAGGGAUCGAACUUGCAACCUCAUGGUUCCUAGUCAGAUUCGCUUGUGCUGUGCCAUGACGGGAACUCCCAGCCAGUUCUUGUUGAUGCUGUCCCAUAACUGCCUAAUAAGAUACACUGCCACUGACUUUAUAAAUCACCCUAUUAUUAUUUAUAUUAAUAACAGAUAACUCCAACAUAGGUAAUUCAAAAACUAUCCCCACAGACAUCAACUCACCUUCUUCCCUUUGCAUGUGCACCUUCCAGCUCAUGGAAUUUGGUGAAAGAUUCAGAAGGUGUUACCCUCUUGCCUUAUCAACAUUAAGUUACUUAGAGGACAGAUUCAGCCUUGCCACCCACUCCUCCACCCUCGCCAAUGAAUUGGCAGAGCUUACCACCUCCUGAAAUCUCAUAAAGAAAUGGAUGUGAAAAAGAAACAGAAUAAGGGCAUCCUCUUGCUGCCCAGCAGGUUAAGGAUCCAGUGUUGUCACUGCAGUGGUUUGGGGCUGUGGUGUGGGUUCCAUCCCUGGCCCUGGAACUUCCACAUGCCCUAGGCACAGCCCACCACCC
rnacentral:lncRNA from 1 species